CUCUUCCCAAGGUUAUACACAGGCUGAAGGCCUUAUUAACCCCUUUAAAACCCAACAAGUGUAUUGUGCUUUUAUUGUGAAAACCCAUGUGGACGUCUUCCUACAGUGUAAUUGCCUGCACCUGUGGAGCAUAAAAUGGGUGGGUUUUAAAUAAGCAGGAGAGGAAACAGGAGCAGGUCGAAUUGGAGAGGAAAUGGGAGCAGAUCACGGAGAGGAAACAGCAGGGACUGAUCAUAGUAACCACACCGGAGCUGCCAGUGACGACGGAAGUUAGAGAAACCUAGAAGGACACAUGAAGAAGCGAGCAGAGUGAGAAUGCUUUCAUGUCUCGAGGUCAGCUACCUGAGGAGAUGACGGUGGUGCAGCGGCGUCGAGAAGCCACAGGACCGAGCACGGAUUCAACCUACACUUUUUACGACGGAGCCACGUCUGCCAGCACCCGAGAGUGUACUCCUCUGCCUCCACAGAUAAGACUGUUUUACUGGACUCCCUCGCCCCUCAGUUUUGUAGCCACCCUCCUUUUACCAGGCCGCGGCUGUACCAUUUUUAGUGUUUUACCCGUGUUUUUACCUGAUUUUAUUCUGUGAAUAAAAUAUCAAUAUUUCUGCUCA